rnacentral:piRNA from 1 species
UUCAAUUAAGUCCUGCCGAGUACUAGAACU